CGUUACUUCACAGUCGUUCUUCACUGGCUAGCUUUAUGUGGCAGCACCUUAAAGCUGCCAGUUGAAGAGCUGUUGUGGGUAAC
rnacentral:pre_miRNA from 1 species